rnacentral:rRNA from 1 species
AGAGUUUGAUCCUGGCUCAGGACGAACGCUGGCGGCACGCUUAACACAUGCAAGUCGAACGAGAGAAGAGGAGCUUGCUUUUCUGAUCUAGUGGCGGACGGGUGAGUAACACGUGAGCAAUCUGCCCUUCAGAGGGGGAUACCGAUUGGAAACGAUCGUUAAUACCGCAUAACAUAAUUGAACCGCAUGAUUUGAUUAUCAAAGAUUUAUCGCUGAAAGAUGAGCUCGCGUCUGAUUAGCUAGUUGGUAAGGUAACGGCUUACCAAGGCGACGAUCAGUAGCCGGACUGAGAGGUUGAUCGGCCACAUUGGGACUGAGACACGGCCCAGACUCCUACGGGAGGCAGCAGUGGGGAAUAUUGCACAAUGGAGGAAACUCUGAUGCAGCGAUGCCGCGUGAGGGAAGAAGGUUUUAGGAUUGUAAACCUCUGUCUUCAGGGACGAAAAAAGACGGUACCUGAGGAGGAAGCUCCGGCUAACUACGUGCCAGCAGCCGCGGUAAUACGUAGGGAGCGAGCGUUGUCCGGAAUUACUGGGUGUAAAGGGAGCGUAGGCGGGAUCGCAAGUCAGAUGUGAAAACUAUGGGCUUAACCCAUAAACUGCAUUUGAAACUGUGGUUCUUGAGUGAAGUAGAGGUAAGCGGAAUUCCUAGUGUAGCGGUGAAAUGCGUAGAUAUUAGGAGGAACAUCAGUGGCGAAGGCGGCUUACUGGGCUUUAACUGACGCUGAGGCUCGAAAGCGUGGGGAGCAAACAGGAUUAGAUACCCUGGUAGUCCACGCCGUAAACGAUGAUUACUAGGUGUGGGGGGACUGACCCCUUCCGUGCCGCAGCAAACGCAAUAAGUAAUCCACCUGGGGAGUACGACCGCAAGGUUGAAACUCAAAGGAAUUGACGGGGGCCCGCACAAGCAGUGGAGUAUGUGGAUUAAUUCGAAGCAACGCGAAGAACCUACCAGGUCUUGACAUCGUAUGCAUAGCUCAGAGAUGAGUGAAAUCUCUUCGGAGACAUAUAGACAGGUGGUGCAUGGUUGUCGUCAGCUCGUGUCGUGAGAUGUUGGGUUAAGUCCCGCAACGAGCGCAACCCUUACUGUUAGUUGCUACGCAAGAGCACUCUAGCAGGACUGCCGUUGGCAAAACGGAGGAAGGUGGGGAUGACGUCAAAUCAUCAUGCCCCCUAUGACCUGGGCCUCACACGUACUACAAUGGCUGUCAACAGAGGGAAGCAAAGCCGCGAGGUGGAGCGAACCCCUAAAAGCAGUCUUAGUUCGGAUUGUAGGCUGCAACCCGCCUACAUGAAGUCGGAAUUGCUAGUAAUCGCAGAUCAGCAUGCUGCGGUGAUUACGUUCCCGGGCCUUGUACACACCGCCCGUCACGCCAUGGGAGUCGGUAACACCCGAAGCCUGUAGUCUAACCGCAAGGAGGACGCAGUCGAAGGUGGGAUUGAUGACUGGGGUGAAGUCGUAACAAGGUA